CCCUUAGAUGUCCUGGGCCGCACGCGUGCUACACUGACGCCUACAGCGAGUACUUCCCAGCCCCGAGAGGUGGCUGGUAAUCAGCAAUAGGCGUCGUGAUGGGGAUAGAUCUUUGGAAUUAUGGAUCUUGAACGAGGAAUGCCUAGUAAGCGCAGGUCAUUAGCCUGCGUUGAUUAAGUCCCUGCCCUUUGUACACACCGCCCGUCGCUCCUACCGAUUUCGAGUGGUCCGGUGAAUCUUUCGGACUGCGCGCGGCUUCGUGCCGUGUCGCGGAAAGUCAGGUAAACCUUNUNACUUAUNGGAAGGAGAANUCGUANCA
rnacentral:rRNA from 1 species